rnacentral:piRNA from 1 species
UGCGAGCUGCUGUUUCAGGUU